CCUCCCUUGUUCCUCCUUUCUUCCUCUUUUUCCCUUUCCUGCCGUCUGCCCCCGCCAUGCCGCGUGCAGGAAGACGGCUCUAUGAGUUGUAAACUGCUUUUGUACAAGGGUAAACCUGAAUACGUGUAUUCAGCUGAAAGUACUGUACGAAUAAGGAUCGGCUAACUCCGUGCCAGCAGCCGCGGUAAUACGGAGGAUCCAAGCGUUAUCCGGAUUUAUUGGGUUUAAAGGGUGCGUAGGCGGAUUGAUAAGUGAGAGGUGAAAUGUCCGAGCUUAACUCGGGAACUGCCUCUAAUACUGUUGAUCUAGAGAGUAGAUGCGGUAGGCGGAAUGUAUGGUGUAGCGGUGAAAUGCUUAGAGAUCAUACAGAACACCGAUUGCGAAGGCAGCUUACCAAUCUAUAUCUGACGUUGAGGCACGAAAGCGUGGGGAGCAAACAGGAUUAGAUACCCCUGUAGUC
rnacentral:rRNA from 1 species